AAAUGGGCAGAAUAAAAUUUAACGGAGUUUUCUUAUUGAUGGUCCUUCAAAUAUUCUUGGUGGCUCCAACAACUGGAGAUGAAACGUGUGAAUCAGACCGAAAAAUCGAAGAACAGUGCCGGCUUCAUAACUACAAGACUGUUAAGCCUUUGCUCGAUUAUUUCAGGCAGGUUAGAAAUGAGUUAGAACAAAGUGAAACUAAGGAAAAGCAGAUAAGUGAAUUAAAUUCUGAUCUUAUGGAAAAAUAUCAUGAAAUUGUAAGAAUUCAUGAAACAUUCAUGAAGGAGGCAGAUCUAUUAAAUGAGUAUAAAAACAAAGUAAUCAAAGGGGAAAACGAUUUGCAAUUGUGUCAAAAUAAAGUUGAUAAAUCUGAAUCUGAAAUUAAUUCAAAACAAAAUAUUAUUCUUAACUUAAAAGAACAACUAACAGAUAAAUCCACCAACUUAGAAAAUUGUCAAGUUCAAUUAAAAUCUCUUAAAUCUAGUUUAAUUGAAAAAGAUGCAAAUAUAAAGAGAUUGAGUGAGAAUAUUAAAAGUAACAAAGAAUAUCAGAAAACACUUGAGUUGGAAUUAGAGAAGAGUAAAUCUAUAUCAAUAAAGCGUGAAAAAGAUAUUCAGUUAUGUCGUUCAGAAAUCAACGAAUUAAAUAGGACAUCAGAGAGCAUUAAAGAAGAAUAGAAAAAGAUUCAAUUGAUAUUAAAAGAAUGUGAAACUAAGCUAAUAGAUAAAGUAAAUGAAACUAAGCUAAAUCAAUCUGAACUUGAUAAAUUAAGUGCCACAACAUGCAUCCCUCAUGCAUCAGGAGUUCAUCAACUCAAUGUCUCCGGCAUAGGUUUAUUCAAUGUGUUGUGCGAUAGUCAGUUAGCUGGACCUGGAUGGAUUGUAAUACAACAACGAGUUGGGGGAAAUGAGAGUUUCAAUAGGAAUUGGGAAACGUAUCGCAAAGGUUUCGGUUCUUUUGAAAGUGAUUUCUUUCUUGGAUUAGAGAAAUUACACCGUAUCACGAGCUUGCAGCGUUUCGAACUUUACAUACAUAUGGUCGAUGAGGAUGGAAAUACCCUCAACGCUCGUUAUGACAACUUCAAAAUAUCUGAUGAAGAUAAUGGAUAUGCACUGAGUUUGGGUAAAUUCACUGGAACUAUUUUAGGGGAUGGCAUGAGAGAUACCGAAAACAUGAAAUUCACAACAUUCGAUCACGACAACGACAAUUAUGAUUAUGCUAAUUGCGCAGUCGAGAAUGAAAGUGGCUGGUGGUACAAACAUUGUUAUUAUAGUUAUUUAAAUGCACCAUAUGAAGAUCUAAGUUGGGAGGUACAUGAUGACAACAUUAUUGACCUUAAAAAAGUUAAGAUGCUAAUUCGCCCCAAAGAAGCGAUGAAGAAGUGAUAAACUGAAAAGCUGAAAUUUUCAUAUUUGACUCAAUUAGGUAAUCAUUUAUAUAUAAUUUAAAUCAUAAAAAAACAAGUAAGAAAGCUACAGUCGAGUGUACUCGUCUGUAAGAUACUUGCUGCCCAAUUUGAUUAAAAGCAAUAUGUUUUGCGGUAUUAUUCUCAAAAUAUACCGAAUAUACUGCAAAAAUACUAAAAAUAUACCAAAUGGUAUAUUUGGUAUAUCGACAUAGUACCGCAUCCAAAAUAUACCAUAGACGACACUAUAUCAGAUUAUCAGCCAAAGCAACUAAACCCCUUAUAACUAGGUGUUUUUGCCCUUCCAAAAGUAUAUCUUUAAUAACUUCGACAAUUUUUAUCAAAACUAGCAGCUCUAGAUUAAUAAUUGCGCUUGUUAUUCUUUUUUUUAUAUGGGGCGGAAGGGGCGUGGCAAAAAUUUGAAACAAACUUGAUCUGCGUUCAAACAUAACAAAUGCUCUCGAAUUAAAAUCAUAGCUCUAUCUCUUAGUGUCUCUGAGAUCCAGUGUUUCAUACGGACAGACGGACAGACACACAGACGGACAUGGCUAUAUCGUCU